GUGAACCUCAGUAGGGGUUGUGAAUGCAACCCCAUCUAAGCUCCUCCUCCUGCACCCAGGUGCAGAUAAAAGGGCCAAGAUGGCUAAUGUCAGCCUCUGUUGGUUGCCUCCUAGGGUGGAUCCCCUGCUGCUGUUUUGUAUGGUAUUAGUUGUUCUGGUUAGCUGUUUUGUUUUGUUUUGGUUCCGUUUGCUAUUUUGUUUUGGUUGCUUUGUUUAAGUUUGCUUUUGUGUUAUUUUCCCUUUUCUGUUUCAUUGUUUGACCUUUGGUUUGCUGGGUUACUUAACCCCUGUUUUGCAGUUUGGUUUGGUUUGGUUUUGCUCCUGUUUUCUUUAUUUAGUUAUUGUAAUAAAAGAAACGGUUAAUAUA